GAAGAACGCUAGCUACAGGCUUAACACAUGCAAGUCGAGGGGCAGCAUUUCAGUUUGCUUUGCAACUGGAGAAGGCGACCGGCGCACGGGUGAGUAACACGUAUCCAACCUGCCGAUAACUCGGGGAUAGCCUUUCGAAAGAAAGAUUAAUACCCGAUGGUAUAAUCAGACCGCAUGGUCUUGUUAUUAAAGAAUUUCGGUUAUCGAUGGGGAUGCGUUCCAUUAGGCAGUUGGUGAGGUAACGGCUCACCAAACCUUCGAUGGAUAGGGGUUCUGAGAGGAAGGUCCCCCACAUUGGAACUGAGACACGGUCCAAACUCCUACGGGAGGCAGCAGUGAGGAAUAUUGGUCAAUGGGCGCAGGCCUGAACCAGCCAAGUAGCGUGAAGGAUGACUGCCCUAUGGGUUGUAAACUUCUUUUAUAUGGGAAUAAAGUUUUCCACGUGUGGAAUUUUGUAUGUACCAUAUGAAUAAGGAUCGGCUAACUCCGUGCCAGCAGCCGCGGUAAUACGGAGGAUCCGAGCGUUAUCCGGAUUUAUUGGGUUUAAAGGGAGCGUAGGUGGACAGUUAAGUCAGUUGUGAAAGUUUGCGGCUCAACCGUAAAAUUGCAGUUGAUACUGGCUGUCUUGAGUACAGUAGAGGUGGGCGGAAUUCGUGGUGUAGCGGUGAAAUGCUUAGAUAUCACGAAGAACUCCGAUUGCGAAGGCAGCUCACUGGACUGCAACUGACACUGAUGCUCGAAAGUGUGGGUAUCAAACAGGAUUAGAUACCCUGGUAGUCCACACAGUAAACGAUGAAUACUCGCUGUUUGCGAUAUACAGUAAGCGGCCAAGCGAAAGCAUUAAGUAUUCCACCUGGGGAGUACGCCGGCAACGGUGAAACUCAAAGGAAUUGACGGGGGCCCGCACAAGCGGAGGAACAUGUGGUUUAAUUCGAUGAUACGCGAGGAACCUUACCCGGGCUUAAAUUGCAUUUGAAUAUAUUGGAAACAGUAUAGCCGUAAGGCAAAUGUGAAGGUGCUGCAUGGUUGUCGUCAGCUCGUGCCGUGAGGUGUCGGCUUAAGUGCCAUAACGAGCGCAACCCUUAUCUUUAGUUACUAACAGGUUAUGCUGAGGACUCUAGAGAGACUGCCGUCGUAAGAUGUGAGGAAGGUGGGGAUGACGUCAAAUCAGCACGGCCCUUACGUCCGGGGCUACACACGUGUUACAAUGGGGGGUACAGAAGGCCGCUACCUGGUGACAGGAUGCUAAUCCCAAAAACCUCUCUCAGUUCGGAUCGAAGUCUGCAACCCGACUUCGUGAAGCUGGAUUCGCUAGUAAUCGCGCAUCAGCCAUGGCGCGGUGAAUACGUUCCCGGGCCU
rnacentral:rRNA from 1 species